rnacentral:lncRNA from 1 species
UUAUUUUUCAGUUUAAAAUUCUACGCACUUAUAAGUAACCAAAGGAAACAACAGAAAACUAAAAAAAAAAGGACAAGAGCAAGAUCAAGGUUUUAAUUAAUUUAUUCACAUAGGCAAAUAAGAUACCAGUAGCGUCAAAGUCAUCCAAAGGAUAAACAAAUAAACCAACAUAAAAACGCGUAGGAAAAGAAAACAAUACACAACUAGUAGUUCUCCUAUUUUCCUUUGACCAUUUCUUACAUAACUGUCAUUUCAAUGUUCACGCCAAAAUUACAAGACUUUCUACAAACUAAUAUUCAAAGUGUCAAAACAGCUUCUUUUAAUAAAUUAACCAACACCCACUUCAUUUUAUUGAUAAUCUUUGAUUUUCUCUACAACUUUCAAAGAUGGUGUUCGUUUCAGGCAACGUCCAAAAGCAGCAGCCUCUUUCAAAAAUAUCCACGGAGAAAACUCAGCUUAUUUUAACUCACACCAACUCUAAGUUAAGUAAUUAUGUUCUCUUCUCAAAUCAAUUACGUACUGUUACUUCCUUUUCGAAAUCACUCAAGCUCACGAACCACUGCCAUCCAAAUUAAAAUUCAACUUCAUAUGAAAAAUUACUAGGAAUCUCUAACUAAGGAAAAAGAAAGUUAAGAAAUAAAACCCACUAAGUGAAAUGGAAUCGAAAGAGUGAAUAGUAACUGAAGCUUGCAAAUAUUAGGCCUAAGACAUGUAUAUUCCUAUUUUAUCAAUACAUGCCAAACAAAUGUUCCGUUCAAACACCAAAACAAUUAUGAAACCUGAAAAUAUAAGAAGAAAUAAAGUGAAGAAUAGACCUUUAAUUGAGUAGCGGCCAAAGAAGCUAACGGGGAUACAAACACGACGGAUCAUGAACAAAACCCCGUGCCAAUAACAAAUCGACCCUCUCCACUUAGACCAGAAUACUCGUUCAAAGUUCUAUUUUCGAAGAAACACACUAUUUAAGAGGGUCAAAAUCGAAAGGUCACCGGAGCUCCGAUUUGGAAUCUUUAUGAGUUUUCUCUAUUGCAAAUUUUAGGAGACGAAACAAAUCAUAAGUUAAUGAAGAAAGAUUUUCUGGGAAGGAUUGAAAGGUUUGCUUGCUCUUAAGAAGAAAAUGAUUAUAUAGAGAAGGGAGAGGUGUCACUGGGUUUUUCGUGACAGCAUGGAGGUGUAGAGAUGCGACUGCUGCUUUGUUCUUCUUGAAGAAGCUGAUGCCCAUCUCCUUUUUCUGUGUG